CUAUGCGCCUUGCCAGCCCGCUCAGGUGUGCCAGCCGCCGCGGUAAUACGGAGGAUGCGAGCGUUAUCCGGAUUUAUUGGGUUUAAAGGGUGCGUAGGCGGGAUGCCAAGUCAGCGGUAAAAAUGCGGUGCUCAACGCCGUCGAGCCGUUGAAACUGGCGUUCUUGAGUGGGCGAGAAGUAUGCGGAAUGCGUGGUGUAGCGGUGAAAUGCAUAGAUAUCACGCAGAACUCCGAUUGCGAAGGCAGCAUACCGGCGCCCUACUGACGCUGAGGCACGAAAGCAUGGGUAGCGAACAGG
rnacentral:rRNA from 1 species